CAUAGUUCUUCCUUCUGUACCAGGGAAGAAAGUGUUGAGUCAGAAACUCCCCAUACUUUGCAGAGGUCAUCUUUACACCUUCGGGGACCCUAAAGGGGCCGACCAGCUCUCUUCCCAUGAUUCCGGCCCAAAACAUGACUCCUCCACCGCCUUGCUGACGUUGCAUCCUUUUUGGGACAGGGUGGCCGUCCACAAACCAUCCACUACUCCAUCCAUCUGGACCAUCCAGGUUUGCAUGGUACUCAUCAGUGAACAGGACUAUUUUAAAAUUAGUCUUCAUGUAUUUUUAUGCCCAAUGAAGCC